GAUGAACGCUGGCGGCGUGCCUAAUACAUGCAAGUCGAGCGAACGGACGAGAAGCUUGCUUCUCUGAUGUUAGCGGCGGACGGGUGAGUAACACGUGGAUAACCUACCUAUAAGACUGGGAUAACUUCGGGAAACCGGAGCUAAUACCGGAUAAUAUUUUGAACCGCAUGGUUCAAAAGUGAAAGACGGUCUUGCUGUCACUUAUAGAUGGAUCCGCGCUGCAUUAGCUAGUUGGUAAGGUAACGGCUUACCAAGGCAACGAUGCAUAGCCGACCUGAGAGGGUGAUCGGCCACACUGGAACUGAGACACGGUCCAGACUCCUACGGGAGGCAGCAGUAGGGAAUCUUCCGCAAGGGGGGAAAGCCUGACGGAGCAACGCCGCGUGAGUGAUGAAGGUCUUCGGAUCGUAAAACUCUGUUAUUAGGGAAGAACAUAUGUGUAAGUAACUGUGCACAUCUUGACGGUACCUAAUCAGAAAGCUACGGCUAACUCCGUG
rnacentral:rRNA from 1 species